UACGGGGGGGGCAAGCGUUGUUCGGAAUUACUGGGCGUAAAGGGUUCGUAGGUGGCCAACUAAGUCAGACGUGAAAUCCCUCAGCUCAACUGGGGAACUGCGUCCGAUACUGGUGGGCUUGAAUCCGGGAGAGGGAUGUGGAAUUCCAGGUGUAGCGGUGAAAUGCGUAGAUAUCUGGAGGAACACCGGUGGCGAAGGCGGCAUCCUGGACCGGUAUUGACGCUGAGGCGCGAAAGCUAGGGGAGCAAACGGG
rnacentral:rRNA from 1 species